AAAUAACCAAUUUUAUAUUUAUCAUCCCGAAAAAAAAACAAAAAAAAUUUUAAGAACAAACCUAGGUUUUCUUCUCUACAAAACAAAUCAUUAUUAACGAUUCAAGGUGAUUAUACAUAAAGCUACAAGAUAUAGAUGAGGUUGGUGGCGCUGUUUAGAAAUUCGGGUCGUGCAUACAGAUUUGGUUGUUGCAAACUUGCUUCAUAAGCCAAACUAAAAUCUUGGGGUUUGCCAAGAGAUAAAUAAAUCCUAAACUAAAAUCUCCGAUUUCCUCUGAUUUGAUUGUGGUCGCUCCAAUUUUCAGUUGGACACUAAUUAACCGAACCAAGAGACAUGCUUGCUGUUGCAAACAUGAUGGAGUUUUUCUUAGCUGAUCAGUUUAGGGUUUGUGCUGAAAUUUUUGAAGUAUUUAUUUUUGUUAAGACAAAAAUGACACUCAUUUCUACUUCUGUGUGGCAGGUUAUUUGAAACUGAGAAAAAGACUAAAGUCAUAUUGGAUGAAAGAGUAAAAAUAACAUUUUCAUUCGAAAGUUUUUUUUGAAGUAAACUGAACAAUAUAUGCUAUGGUUGAUGGUCAAUGUAGUUUUUGCUUAGUGGUUGUGAAUUUUUAUAUUGAGUUGGUGGGGUGGACUUACCAUCUGAUUUUUUUGGUGCAUGUUGUGAUAAACAAGAUGCAAGAUGAUAGACGAGAUGCAUCCUGGCGUAAAUCUAAAAGAAAUGGUUGGCAAACUGAAUCACUAAAGGUUGGACUGGAAGAAAUAUAAUAGACAAGUCGAGAGAAGAAAAAGAAAAAAAUGUGGUUUGGCAAGGGUAUGCUUUACAAUGUAUGUUCACUGUCUCAACAUUUCUAUUUAUGACAAAAUAGAAACCUUCACUUAUAACAAUCGUUUUAUCUUGAUUUAGUUUGAGUUUACAUCAAAAUGAUUAGGUACUGUAUGUAGACAAACUAAGAGAGUGUUUAGAGUAAUCAUUCGUACGUCAAGAUACAUAUGGGAAGUCAUUGAUGAGAUAAGUAGAAAUGUUCUUCCUAAUCCAACUUUGCCAAUAUAUGAUUGAUCAUAUAUAUGCAUUUUAUGCAUUUUCUUACAGUUGAGUUGGAAAGGUAUGUAUAUUCUCCUUUCUGACUUUGAACUUUUCUACCAAUAUCCAGUCACAAGGUUGAGUUGGCUCUCUACUUUGUUUAGUUAGCUCAUCAACUUUGGUUUCUUUUAUGGAAAAAUCAGGUAUAUAAUAUCGGGAUGGGGCGAGGCGAAGCCGAAGCCGAGCCAGACCUAAUUAAAAAUAUAUCGCGAGGGGAGGCCAAUAAUGAAUGCACGACGGGGCGAGGCAAACCCGCAUCAUACUAAAUCAAAAGUAUGGUUAAAAGAAAAAAGGCUUGAUGCAUAGGAUUCGUUCUAACCUCUUCUUUUUGCUUUAUAAUAGCCAUUGUUGUUUUUUCAUUUAUAUUUUUUCAUUUUUUUGUGUCGAAAAAAAUGUAGGUUUAGAGCGGCUGAUAAACAGCAAAAAAAAAAAA